GCAGGUUGAAUCAGGAUGAAGUAGGUUCAAGCAGGAUGAAGCAGGGUGAAGCAGGGUGAAAAAGGAAAAAGCAGGAUGAAGUAGGGUGAAGCAAGGUGAA